CAGAGGUCCCAAGCGUUGUUCGGAUUCACUGGGCGUAAAGGGUGCGUAGGUGGUCGGGUAAGUCUGAUGUGAAAUCUCCGAGCUUAACUCGGAAAUGGCAUUGGAUACUAUUCGGCUAGAGGGUUUGAGGGGGGACUGGAAUACUUGGUGUAGCAGUGAAAUGCGUAGAUAUCAAGUGGAACACCAGUGGCGAAGGCGAGUCCCUGGAAAACUCCUGACACUGAGGCACGAAAGCUAGGGGAGCAAACAGGAUUAGAUACCCUGGUAGUCCUAGCUGUAAACGAUGCAUAUUUGCUGUAAAAGGAAUCGACCCCUUUUGUAGCGUAGCAAACGCGUUAAAUAUGCCGCCUGGGAAGUACGGUCGCAAGAUUA
rnacentral:rRNA from 1 species